AACCAUAGAAACCUGCGGAGUACCUGCGGAGGGAUCAUUAUAGUAUAUGGAAUCUCCAUUCUAUAAACCCACUCUGCGUAUCUUGUAACUGUUGCUUCCAUGGGACUUGGUUCCGCCACACCGGCUUCACGGCUGGUGAGCGCCCAUGGAAGGAGAAACAAAACUCUUCUUUGAAAUGUAGUCAGUCUGAACAAGCUUUUAUAAACGUUAAAACUUUUAGCAACGGAUCUCAGAUCGGAA
rnacentral:misc_RNA from 1 species